rnacentral:rRNA from 1 species
GAUGAACGCUAGCUACAGGCUUAACACAUGCAAGUCGAGGGGAAACGACAUCGAAAGCUUGCUUUUGAUGGGCGUCGACCGGCGCACGGGUGAGUAACGCGUAUCCAACCUGCCCAUCACUUGGGGAUAACCUUGCGAAAGUAAGACUAAUACCCAAUGAUAUCCCUAGAAGACAUCUGAAAGAGAUUAAAGAUUUAUCGGUGAUGGAUGGGGAUGCGUCUGAUUAGCUUGUUGGCGGGGUAACGGCCCACCAAGGCAACGAUCAGUAGGGGUUCUGAGAGGAAGGUCCCCCACAUUGGAACUGAGACACGGUCCAAACUCCUACGGGAGGCAGCAGUGAGGAAUAUUGGUCAAUGGGCGAGAGCCUGAACCAGCCAAGUAGCGUGCAGGAAGACGGCCCUAUGGGUUGUAAACUGCUUUUAUAAGGGAAUAAAGUGAGAGUCGUGACUCUUUUUGUAUGUACCUUAUGAAUAAGGACCGGCUAAUUCCGUG